GUGGAUCAUGCUCUCGUUGUUCCUCCCUUGUAGCUUGAGGCUGCGUUGUCCUAUGGGCAGUGCACUAAGGAAGGAGUUUGCGACACUGAGGCAAGUUGACCCUAUGGCUGUGCGUCGGGCACCCGUGGAAAUGCUUUGUAACCCAGCACUGCAAGAGGUGUUGCCAGCUGAGCUUGGCAGGUGCUGCGCCUGGGACCCGCAACAGCAGAAAACGUGCGCUUCACCCAGCAUAGCUUCCCCUCGGAGAGGAGUUCAGCUACAACGCCAGGCUGAAGGAACUGCUGAAGCACAGGCACGUG